rnacentral:lncRNA from 1 species
UUCCCCCUAAGGUUAACAGAUCGGUGUGAUUAUUUCUGUAAACAGAUCCCAGAAGUAAAAUUGCUGCAUGAAGAAGAACCAGCUCUCAGAUGAAGGUAGACACCGACCAAAAAAGUCAUUGAAAUGCAUCUCAGCUAGAUGUUCUCUGAAUUCACCCCCUGGGCUUUAUCAU